AGGGAAUUUUCCGCAAUGGGCGAAAGCCUGACGGAGCAACGCCGCGUGAGCGAGGACGGCCUUCGGGUUGUAAAGCUCUGUUCUUCGGGAAGAACGGCAGGAGGACGAAUAAUCCUUCUGAGUGACGGUACCGGAGGAGAAAGCCCCGGCUAACUACGUG
rnacentral:rRNA from 1 species